UACGUAGGGUGCAAGCGUUAAUCGGAAUUACUGGGCGUAAAGCGUGCGCAGGCGGUUUUGUAAGUCUGUCGUGAAAUCCCCGGGCUCAACCUGGGAAUUGCGAUGGAGACUGCAAGGCUAGAAUCUGGCAGAGGGGGGUAGAAUUCCACGUGUAGCAGUGAAAUGCGUAGAGAUGUGGAGGAACACCGAUGGCGAAGGCAGCCCCCUGGGUCAAGAUUGACGCUCAUGCACGAAAGCGUGGGGAGCAAACGAGGAUUAGAAACCCGUAGUA
rnacentral:rRNA from 1 species